rnacentral:misc_RNA from 1 species
AUCGCUAUUCCGAUAGCUUUAAUACUCAUAACCGUCAAUGAACCCAUUAGAGAACAGAUUCCCAAGUAGACCAGUAUGUUUACAUGUCCAUAACGAGGUUCGAAAUACAACAUGAGAGCCAACACUAAUGAAGCUAUAGCAGCAAUGUAGACUAGAAAAGCUGGUUGAGUUGCUAAAUCCCAAAUCUCUUCAACAGAAUCAGG